GGCGGACGGGUGAGUAACGCGUGGGAAUCUACCCUCCAGAGGGGGACAACCUGAGGAAACUUGGGCUAAUACCGCAUACGCUCUACGGAGCAAAGCAGGGGACCAAUAGGCCUUGCGCUGGAGGAUGAGCCUGCGUCCGAUUAGCUAGUUGGUAGGGUAAAGGCCUACCAAGGCGACGAUCGGUAGCUGGUCUGAGAGGACGAUCAGCCACACUGGGACUGAGACACGGCCCAGACUCCUACGGGAGGCAGCAGUGGGGGAUAUUGGACAAUGGGGGCAACCCUGAUCCAGCAAUGCCGCGUGGGUGAAGAAGGCCUUCGGGUUGUAAAGCCCUUUCAGUGGGGAAGAAAGGGGCAGUGUAAAUAGCGCUGUCCAUUGACGUUACCCACAAAAGAAGCACCGGCUAACUCCGUGCCAGCAGCCGCGGUAAUACGGAGGGUGCGAGCGUUAAUCGGAAUUACUGGGCGUAAAGGGCGCGUAGGCGGUCCGGUAAGUCGGGUGUGAAAGCCCCGGGCUUAACCUGGGAAUGGCACUCGAGACUGUCGGACUAGAGUAUGGUAGAGGGAGGCGGAAUUUCCGGUGUAGCGGUGAAAUGCGUAGAGAUCGGAAGGAACACCAGUGGCGAAGGCGGCC
rnacentral:rRNA from 1 species